rnacentral:rRNA from 1 species
UGUCACUUGAAUAUAAUAAGUGAUACUUCCUGCCCAAUGAUAUUAUAUUUAAUGGCCGCGGUAUCCUGACCGUGCAAAGGUAGCAUAAUCAUUUGCCUAUUAAUUGUAGGCUAGAAUGAAUGGAUAAACGAAGUAAUUCCUGUCUCUAAUAGUAUAAUAAAAAUUAAUAUUUUAGUGAAGAAGCUAAAAUAAAAUUAUAGGACAAGAAGACCCUAUAGAGCUUUAUUUUAAUUAUACUACUAUAAAACUAUAUAAAUAAAUUCAGUUGGGGCGACUUAGGAUAUAAACACCCUAAAUAAUAAAGGCUAACAAGCCACUCUAAAGAUCCUAAAUAAGAUCACAGAAAUAAGUUACCUUAGGGAUAACAGGCUAAUUUUUCUAGAGAGUUCAAAUUAAUAGAAAAGAUUGGCACCUCGAUGUUGGCUUAAGAUAUCUAUAAGAUGCAGCAGUCUUAAUAGUGGGUUUGUUCAACCCAUAAAAUC